rnacentral:rRNA from 1 species
GAUGAACGCUGGCGGCGUGCCUAACACAUGCAAGUCGAGCGGCAGCGAGGGGUGCUUGCACCCUGUCGGCGAGCGGCGGACGGCUGAGUAACGCGUGGGAACGUGCCCCAAAGUGAGGAAUAACUGCCCGAAAGGGUAGCUAAUACCGCAUAUUAUCUUCGGAUCAAAGGAUUUAUCCGCUUUGGGAGCGGCUCGCGUCGGAUUAGGUAGUUGGUGAGGUAAUGGCUCACCAAGCCGACGAUCCGUAGCUGGUCUGAGAGGAUGACCAGCCAGACUGGAACUGAGACACGGUCCAGACUCCUACGGGAGGCAGCAGUGAGGAAUCUUCCACAAUGGGCGAAAGCCUGAUGGAGCAACGCCGCGUGCAGGACGAGGGCCUUCGGGUUGUAAACUGCUUUUAUAAGUGAGGAAUAUGACGGUAACUUAUGAAUAAGGAUCGGCUAACUACGUG